CUGAGUACGGCGGAACACGUGAAAUUCCGUCGGAAUCCGGGAGGACCAUCUCCCAAGGCUAAAUACUCCCUAGUGACCGAUAGUGAACCAGUACCGUGAGGGAAAGGUGAAAAGCACCCCGGAAGGGGAGUGAAACAGUUCCUGAAACCGUGUGCCUACAAGUAGUUAGAGCCCGUUAAUGGGUGAUAGCGUGCCUUUUGUAGAAUGAACCGGCGAGUUACGAUUUGUUGCAAGGUUAAGCGGAAAAAGCGGAGCCGUAGCGAAAGCGAGUCUGAAUAGGGCGCAUAAGUAACAGGUCGUAGACCCGAAACCAGGUGAUCUACCCAUGUCCAGGAUGAAGGUAAGGUAAUACUUACUGGAGGUCCGAACCCACGCACGUUGAAAAGUGCGGGGAUGAGGUGUGGGUAGCGGAGAAAUUCCAAUCGAACUUGGAGAUAGCUGGUUCUCUCCGAAAUAGCUUUAGGGCUAGCCUCGAGGUAAAGAGUCAUGGAGGUAGAGCACUGUUUGGACUAGGGGCCCUUCUCGGGUUACCGAAUUCAGAUAAACUCCGAAUGCCAUGUACUUAUACUCGGGAGUCAGACUGCGAGUGAUAAGAUCCGUAGUCGAAAGGGAAACAGCCCAGACCACCAGUUAAGGUCCCCAAAUAUAUGUUAAGUGGAAAAGGAUGUGGGGUUGCUUAGACAACCAGGAUGUUGGCUUAGAAGCAGCCACCAUUGAAAGAGUGCGUAAUAGCUCACUGGUCGAGUGACCCCGCGCCGAAAAUGUACCGGGGCUAAACAUAUUACCGAAACUGUGGAUGAACCUCUUUAGAGGUUCGUGGUAGGAGAGCGUUCUAAGGGCGGUGAAGUCAGACCGGAAGGACUGGUGGAGCGCUUAGAAGUGAGAAUGCCGGUAUGAGUAGCGAAAGAAGGGUGAGAAUCCCUUCCACCGAAUAUCUAAGGUUUCCUGAGGAAGGCUCGUCCGCUCAGGGUUAGUCGGGACCUAAGCCGAGGCCGAUAGGCGUAGGCGAUGGACAACAGGUAGAGAUUCCUGUACCAGUGCUAAUUGUUUAACCGAUGGGGUGACACAGAAGGAUAGGGAAUCGCACGAAUGGAAAUGUGCGUCCAAGCAGUGAGUGUGAGAAGUAGGCAAAUCCGCUUCUCGCGAAGCAUGAGCUGUGAUGGGGAAGGAAAUUAAGUACGGAAGUUCCUGAUUUCACGCUGUCAAGAAAAGCCUCUAGGAAGAGUAGUACUGCCCGUACCGCAAACCGACACAGGUAGAUGAGGAGAGAAUCCUAAGGUGAGCGAGAGAACUCUCGUUAAGGAACUCGGCAAAAUGACCCCGUAACUUCGGGAGAAGGGGUGCUCUAUUAGGGUGCAAGCCCGAGAGAGCCGCAGUGAAUAGGCCCAGGCGACUGUUUAGCAAAAACACAGGUCUCUGCAAAACCGUAAGGUGACGUAUAGGGGCUGACGCCUGCCCGGUGCUGGAAGGUUAAGAGGAGUGCUUAGCUUCGGCGAAGGUACGAAUUGAAGCCCCAGUAAACGGCGGCCGUAACUAUAACGGUCCUAAGGUAGCGAAAUUCCUUGUCGGGUAAGUUCCGACCCGCACGAAAGGCGCAACGAUCUGGGCACUGUCUCAACGAGAGACUCGGUGAAAUUAUAGUACCUGUGAAGAUGCAGGUUACCCGCGACAGGACGGAAAGACCCCGUGGAGCUUUACUGCAACCUGAUAUGGAAUGUUUGUACCGCUUGUACAGGAUAGGUAGGAGCCGAAGAGACGUGUGCGCUAGCAUACGAGGAGGCAAUGGUGGGAUACUACCCUGGCUGUAUGACCAUUCUAACCCGCCACGCUUAGCGCGUGGGGAGACAGUGUCAGGUGGGCAGUUUGACUGGGGCGGUCGCCUCCUAAAGAGUAACGGAGGCGCCCAAAGGUUCCCUCAGAAUGGAUGGAAAUCAUUCGCAGAGUGUAAAGGCACAAGGGAGCUUGACUGCGAGACUGACAAGUCGAGCAGGGACGAAAGUCGGGCUUAGUGAUCCGGUGGUUCCGCAUGGAAGGGCCAUCGCUCAACGGAUAAAAGCUACCCCGGGGAUAACAGGCUUAUCUCCCCCAAGAGUCCACAUCGACGGGGAGGUUUGGCACCUCGAUGUCGGCUCGUCGCAUCCUGGGGCUGUAGUCGGUCCCAAGGGUUGGGCUGUUCGCCCAUUAAAGCGGCACGCGAGCUGGGUUCAGAACGUCGUGAGACAGUUCGGUCCCUAUCCGUCGCGGGCGCAGGAAAUUUGAGAGGAGCUGUCCUUAGUACGAGAGGACCGGGAUGGACACACCGCUGGUGUACCAGUUGUUCCGCCAGGAGCAUCGCUGGGUAGCUAUGUGUGGCAGGGAUAAACGCUGAAAGCAUCUAAGCGUGAAGCCCCCCUCAAGAUGAGAUUUCCCAUUUCUUCGGAAAGUAAGAUCCCUGAAAGAUGAUCAGGUAGAUAGGUUUGGAGUGGAAGUGUAGCGAUACAUGGAGCGGACAAAUACUAAUCGAUCGAGGACUUAACCAAA
rnacentral:rRNA from 1 species